rnacentral:rRNA from 1 species
AGAGUUUGAUCCUGGCUCAGGAUGAACGCUGGCGGCAUGCCUAAUACAUGCAAGUCGAACGAGAGGAAGGAAAGCUUGCUUUUCUGAAUCUAGUGGCGAACGGGUGAGUAACACGUAGGUAACCUGCCCAUGUGCCCGGGAUAACUUCUGGAAACGGAUGCUAAAACCGGAUAGGUAGCAGACAAGCAUUUGACUGCUAUUAAAGUGGCUAAGGCCAUGAACAUGGAUGGACCUGCGGUGCAUUAGCUAGUUGGUGAGGUAACGGCCCACCAAGGCGACGAUGCAUAGCCGGCCUGAGAGGGCGGACGGCCACAUUGGGACUGAGACACGGCCCAAACUCCUACGGGAGGCAGCAGUAGGGAAUUUUCGUCAAUGGGGGGAACCCUGAACGAGCAAUGCCGCGUGAGUGAGGAAGGUCUUCGGAUCGUAAAGCUCUGUUGUAAGAGAAAAACGACAUUCAUAGGGAAUGAUGAGUGAGUGAUGGUAUCUUACCAGAAAGUCACGGCUAACUACGUGCCAGCAGCCGCGGUAAUACGUAGGUGGCGAGCGUUAUCCGGAAUGAUUGGGCGUAAAGGGUGCGUAGGUGGCAGAACAAGUCUGGAGUAAAAGGUAUGGGCUCAACCCGUACUGGCUCUGGAAACUGUUCAGCUAGAGAACAGAAGAGGACGGCGGAACUCCAUGUGUAGCGGUAAAAUGCGUAGAUAUAUGGAAGAACACCGGUGGCGAAGGCGGCCGUCUGGUCUGUUGCUGACACUGAAGCACGAAAGCGUGGGGAGCAAAUAGGAUUAGAUACCCUAGUAGUCCACGCCGUAAACGAUGAGAACUAGGUGUUGGGGGAAUAACUCAGUGCCGCAGUUAACGCAAUAAGUUCUCCGCCUGGGGAGUAUGCACGCAAGUGUGAAACUCAAAGGAAUUGACGGGGGCCCGCACAAGCGGUGGAGUAUGUGGUU